rnacentral:lncRNA from 1 species
AAAUUAUUUUGAAAGGCCUAAUUGAAAUAAAUCGCCUGAAGCCCCAAAAUUGGUUGAGCUGCCUUUGUGGGACAUAUUAAUCGACACAGAGAGUUAUCGUCCUUUCUUCGUCCUUUCUUGGAAAAGAAGCUCAUUGAAAUUUGCAUUUACUGUUACAUUUACUGUUGGAAAAUGAUGCUGACAUUAAGUUUUGGGGUUAAAACGACUCUCAUACCAUUGAUUGAGAGACUAAUAUUAUGUGCAUGCAUUUGUGUGUCUUCCUUGUUUUUCAUAUUAUCAUAUACCAAGCAUCAUGGUUAAGAGACUGAUCUUAUCUAAAUAUAUCACGUAAAAAGAAGAUAUUGUAAUUUUUAAAUUACAAUUGUUUUAGAGAGAAAACUUUAGUUGUGAAAUAAACAUAUGAUAGUAUGUGAUAUGAUUUCUAACAAAAUAGUAAACAUAUUAUAGUUUUUUUUUCAAUAUAUUAGUGUGCUAUAAAAGUAACUUAUCUUAUAAAUCAUAACAGUAGAUAUUUAAUUAAAUGUUUCACUACUAUAACUUUUAAACUAUAGUCAUCUAAUCACAAUAUUAAAUAGGAUUAUAGUCUUUAAAUUCAAAUUUCUCUGAAAAAAAGAAAAAAAGAGUAUCAUUUAUGUUCAAUAAUCUCUUGUGUGGUGGUAAUAUAUUUGAACUACAUGGUUUCAAUGUAUUAAGGUCUUGUUUGGGAUUGAGGUACUAUAACUUUUAAGUUACAGCUGUUGUGGAAAAAAAAACUAUAACUAUCAAACAAAAGUUAAUAAUAUAUAGUAAAUAUAAAUUUUAAAUAAUAAUUUUGAUAAGUUAUUAAAUAUAUAAUAGAUUUUUCAUUAUACAAGUGAAAAAUCAUAUCAACAUAACUUAUAAGUUACAACAGCUAGUAUUUAUCAAAUACUUUAGUGUUGUACCUUUUAAACUACAGUUGUCCAACUUUAAUUCCAAACACACCCUAAAAUAUGUCCAGCCAUGUGAAUUUACAACUUUUGCAAAUUCCCUUUGAUUGAAUGGUGCAUCGCAAUUCCCUUGGACUUAGAACUAAUAAAUUUUCAAUCGCCAUACCACUUGAUCCGUUCACACCCUUAAUUCUACACCGCUACACGAAUGCUGUACGUAUGCAUGAAAAAACAAAAGCAAACAAAAGAGACUUUGUAUCAUAUGUCUCAAAAAUAAAAAGAAAUAAACGCAAUAUUAAAAAUAUAUGAAAUUACAAUUCUGCUUAAAAGUUUGACUUUCUCUUUUUUUUUUCCUCUCAGAAGUAUAUAAGUGU